UUGACCUCAAAUCAGGUAGGACUACCCGCUGAACUUAAGCAUAUCAAUAAGCGGAGGAAAAGAAACUAACAAGGAUUCCCCUAGUAACUGCGAGUGAAGCGGGAAAAGCUCAAAUUUAAAAUCUGGCAGAUGCUUGUCUGUCCGAGUUGUAACCUAGAGAAGUGUAACCUGUGCUGGA
rnacentral:rRNA from 1 species